UAACCCACUCCCAAGUGUCUUGGGCAAAUUGGGGGGCGGAGGGGGUGGCGAAGAGAGCAGAACAUAUGCUUCCUGAAAGGUAGUGACACUAACACCGAGUCCCCGGGGCAGCAGCAGCCCCUGGGUCUCUGUCUGUCUGGUCCCCCCAGCAAAGGGCUUGAGUCAGCCUCUGCGGCCAGCUACCCUACGUUUCUGUCCUCAGAGUGGAAGGACAGCCGGUGAGCCCCGGUGUCCGGGAGGGGACCGCGGAGAGGCCCAGCCGGCAUCUGCAGUGAAUGCAGGACCCCGUUCCUGCCCUUCGGGCACAUGUUUCGUGUGCCAGGCCUUGACCACACCCGGCAGCCCUGGGCUGCUCUUCUUCAUUUUCUGCCCUCUUGGCUUGGAACCUUCCCGGGGCAGCGUCCUGGGGACACAUCCGGGCUGGGGGAGGCAGCUGAGCAGCCCUAGGUCUGGGAACCUGUGCACCACCCAAGCCCCGUCCCUUCAGGGGUCCCGUGAGCACUGGAACAGGAGCUGGGGGGCACAGAGUAGCCACCUACCAAUCAGCCCUGGGAUGCCCCUGCGCUGCCCUGUUUAUCCAUGUGUCUGUCCAUCUUUCCUUGUAAGACUGUUUAUGGAGAGACGACUCUGUCCCAGGCCUGCUACUCCAGAGUGCCCGAAACGCUGGGAGAAGCAGGGAAAAACGUGCCCCCUGAAGACGCAGGAAGCUGUUAUGGAAGGAGUAUAGCUCCAAGAGAGUCAGAGGCGUCCACGUUCAGCUCUGCCUCAUUUGCUGUCUCAGGGGCUCGGCUCCCCGGGCUGGGGGCGCCCGGUCCCUCCUGCAGGGCGUCCUGAGGAGACAGGGUGAUGGGAGAUGUUCGCAGAGGACCCGGCACAUAGCAGUUUCAGGCUUUUAUUUUUCCAUUUCUACAGUCUGUUACAGAAUCUGCUCAGUGAGGAAGGGAAGAGAAACCGAGUCGGUCGGGCCUCCUCCUCGGAACCUUUGCGAGGCCAGCUGGCCGGAGGGAAGCGGCCUUAGGUUCGGGGCGAUGCCGGGGCCCCAGCGGCUCCAAGAGCAGGCAGAGCCCUGUUCUCUCAGAGAAGUUCACGUUCCGCUGCGAAGCUCAGCUGCCGGGUCCACCGAAUGUGCCUACGUUAGAA